rnacentral:rRNA from 1 species
AGGGCGCAUGGCGGAUGCCUUGGCUCUCGGAGGCGAUGAAGGACGUGAUAAGCUGCGAUAAGCUUUGGGGAGGUGCAAAUGACCUUUGAUCCAGAGAUUUCCGAAUGGGACAACCCAAUAUCUUGAAGAGGUAUUAUCCAACGUUGUUGGAGGCUAACGCAGGGAACUGAAACAUCUUAGUACCUGCAGGAAAAGAAAAUAAACAAUGAUUCCCCCAGUAGUGGCGAGCGAACGGGGAACAGCCCAAACCAUCCAUGUUACGGCAUGGGUGGGGUUGUAGGACUACGCCGUUGCAUGAAGACAUCAGAGAAGAACUUUCUGGAAAGAAAGACCAUAGAGCAUGACAGUUGCGUAUUCGAAUGUUGUCUAAGCAUAGUAGUAUCCUGAGUAGCGCGGAGCACGAGGAAUUCUGCGUGAAUCUGCCGGGACCAUCCGGUAAGGCUAAAUACUCCCGAGAGACCGAUAGCGAACCAGUACCGUGAGGGAAAGGUGAAAAGCACUUCGAACAGAAGAGUGAAAUAGUUCCUGAAACCGUGCGCCUACAAGCGGUCGGAGCUCGUUAAUGAGUGACGGCGUGCCUUUUGCAUAAUGAACCUACGAGUUGCCUUUGCCGGCAAGGUUAAGUGUGACGACACACGUAUCCGAAGCGAAAGCGAGUCUGAACAGGGCGUAUAGUCGGCAGUGGCAGACGCGAAACCAAGUGAUCUACCCUUGGCCAGGUUGAAGGCUGGGUAACACCAGCUGGAGGACCGCACCAAUAAGCGUUGAAAAGCUUCUGGAUGAGCUGAGGGUAGGGGUGAAAGGCUAAUCAAACUUGGAGAUAGCUCGUACUCCCCGAAAUGCAUUUAGGUGCAGCCUUGCGGGUUACUGAUGUGAGGUAGAGCGACUGAUAAGAUGCGAGGGCUUCACCGCCUAUCAAGUCUUGACAAACUCCGAAUGCGCAUCAGUUCUACCGCAGGAGUGAGGGCAUGGGUGCUAAGGUCCGUGCCCGAGAGGAGAAGAAUCCGGACCACCUGCUAAGGUCCCGAAAUGACAGCUAAGUUAAACUAACGAAGUCUGACUGCUAAGACAGCUAGGAUGUUGGCUUGGAAGCAGCCAUUCAUUUAAAGAGUGCGUAACAGCUCACUAGUCGAGGAGUCGGGCGUGGAUAAUAAUCGGGUAUUAAGUUGUCUACCGAAGCAGUGGGAUCAUUAAUAUGAUCGGUAGGGGAGCAUUCCAGUCAGCGUCGAAGGCGUACCGUGAGGUAUUCUGGAGCGUCUGGAAAAGCAAAUGUAGGUAUAAGUAACGAUAAAGGGGGCGGGAAACCCCCUCGCCGAAAGACUAAGGUUUCCUGAUCAACGCUAAUCGGAUCAGGGUCAGUCGGGUCCUAAGGCUCAGCCGAACGGCGAUGCCGAUGGCAGAAACGGUUAAUAUUCCGUUACUACCUUCAGGAGUGACGUGGAGACGCAGUAGUGACAGUGCCGCCAUCUGACGGAAUAGAUGGUUGAAGGGUGUAGGAGUCGAUCAUGGCAGGCAAAUCCACCAUGAGAUCCGAACCUGACAGUAUGCCGCGUCCUUCGGGACAAGGCAAUAGUGCGCGUAAGCAUGCUGCCGAGAAAAUCCGCUAAACUUAAUCCUGCAGGUACCCGUACCGCAAACGGACACACGUAGUCGGGAUGAAUAUUCUAAGGCGCUUGAGUGAUUCACGGUUAAGGAACUAGGCAAACUGACCCUGUAACUUCGGGAUAAAGGGUCCCUACCCUUUUAUGGGAGGGCGCAGAGAAUCGGUCCAGGCAACUGUUUAACAAAAACACAGGGCUGUGCCAAAUCGAAAGAUCCAGUAUACAGCCUGACACCUGCCCGGUGCUGGAAGGUUAAGAGGAGAUGUCAUCGAUAAGAGAAGCGUUGAAUUGAAGCCCCAGUAAACGGCGGCCGUAACUAUAACGGUCCUAAGGUAGCGAAAUUCCUUGUCGGGUAAGUUCCGACCUGCACGAAUGGUGUAAUGAUCUGGACGCUGUCUCAACCGUGAGCUCAGUGAAAUUGUAGUAUCGGUGAAGAUGCCGAUUACCCGCGAUGGGACGAAAAGACCCCGUGAACCUUUACUAUAGCUUAUCAUUGAAUCUGGGCACGUGAUGUGUAGGAUAGGUCGGAGGCUUUGAAGCAGGUACGCCAGUAUUUGUGGAGCCGCUGUUGAAAUACGACCCUUUAUUUGUUUGGAUUCUAACCCGUGGAACGGGGACAUUGAUUGGUGGGUAGUUUGACUGGGGUGGUCGCCUCCAAAAGCGUAACGGAGGCUUCUAAAGGUGCCCUCCGGCCGAUUGGUAACCGGCCUUAGAGUGUAAUGGCAUAAGGGCGCUUGACUGGGAGACUGACAAGUCGAUCAGGUAGGAAACUAGAGCAUAGUGAUCCGGUGUUUCCGUAUGGAAGGGACAUCGCUCAAAGGAUAAAAGGUACUCCGGGGAUAACAGGCUGAUCCCUCCCAAGAGCUCAUAUCGACGGAGUGGUUUGGCACCUCGAUGUCGGCUCGUCACAUCCUGGGGCUGGAGAAGGUCCCAAGGGUUGGGCUGUUCGCCCAUUAAAGUGGCACGCGAGCUGGGUUCAGAACGUCGUGAGACAGUUCGGUCUCUAUCUAUCGUGGGCGUAUGAAAUUUGCGUGGCUCUGACACUAGUACGAGAGGACCGUGUUGGACAGACCUCUGGUUUGCCGGUUGUGCCGCCAGGUGCAUUGCCGGGUAUCUAAGUCUGGAUCGGAUAAGUGCUGAAAGCAUCUAAGUACGAAGCCGGCCACAAGAUUAGAUUUCUCAGGGUCGUUGU